rnacentral:sRNA from 1 species
UUUCUAUAUAAACGCUAGCCGAGUUACCUCUGGUUAUCAGUCCCGGAGCUGUCUAGCAAGAAGACUCCCGUAAAGUUACUAGAAUGAUGCGUCCGUUGGUGCUGGUCCUGACAUUGGCUUUGCUGACUGGCAGUGCCCUUGGCUCUCUUGCAUUUUGGCAGGCUUUGCUGGGAGGAGGUGCAGCUGCAGGUUCAGCAUCCUCUGCAAAUGCGGUAUCGAAUUCCUAUACCCUGAACACUCCCAGUUUAGUCGUUGGCGGUCCUCGAAAACAAUUUUCGUUUGGGGUUGGGGGGGGCUUUAAAUAAUUUUCAUGAUCUGGUCGCGAGAAUCUGUUGCAGUGCCCUGGUUAGGCUUUGUCAUAUAAAUUGGAUUUGUGUAUGGAUAUUUAAAUAUAAUAACUACUGAUAAACUAUUGUAUAA